AUUGAACGCUGGCGGCAGGCCUAACACAUGCAAGUCGAACGGUAACAGGAAACAGCUUGCUGUUUCGCUGACGAGUGGCGGACGGGUGAGUAAUGUCUGGGAAACUGCCUGAUGGAGGGGGAUAACUACUGGAAACGGUAGCUAAUACCGCAUAACGUCGCAAGACCAAAGAGGGGGACCUUCGGGCCUCUUGCCAUCGGAUGUGCCCAGAUGGGAUUAGCUAGUAGGUGGGGUAACGGCCCACCAAGGCGACGAUCGGUAGCCGGACUGAGAGGUUGAACGGCCACAUUGGGACUGAGACACGGCCCAG
rnacentral:rRNA from 1 species